GCUCCAUGCUCCAGUGCUCUGGGAGAGUUUAUAGUCCUGACACUUGAACACUGGAUGACUGACAGCUGUCCUUCAUCACAACACAACACACACAAAUCCUCCUCCUUAUCACAAACAUGACUCUGAUCUGCGUCCUCAUCUGGACUCUCCUCUGCUGCUGCUUCACAGAGUCCAGAGGACAGGUCACAGUGACUCAGCCUGCAGCAGUGAGCUCUGCACAGGGAGUCUCUGUCACCAUCCCAUGCAGAGUCAGUCAGACUGUUGAAAGCUGUAGCAAUCGUCACUGUUUCGCCUGGUACCAAGAGAAGGAUGGAGGAAUUGCUAAGCUCCUCAUCCAGUUUGUUAGCAGUCGAGCAACAGAAACUCCAGAUCGUUUUUCAGGCAGUGGAUCAAACUCUGACUUCACACUGACCAUCAGUGGAGUCCAGGCUGAAGAUGCAGCAGUUUACUACUGUAUGAGUCGUCAUGUUAUCAACAGUCAGUGUGUGUACACACAGUGA